GACGAACGCUGGCGGCGUGCUUAACACAUGCAAGUCGUACAGUAAGGCCCUUUCGGGGGUACACGAGUGGCGAACGGGUGAGUAACACGUGAGUAACCUGCCCACAACUUUGGGAUAACGCUAGGAAACUGGUGCUAAUACUGGAUAUGUGCUCCUGCUGCAUGGUGGGGGUUGGAAAGCUCCGGCGGUUGUGGAUGGACUCGCGGCCUAUCAGCUUGUUGGUGGGGUAGUGGCCUACCAAGGCGGCGACGGGUAGCCGGCCUGAGAGGGUGACCGGCCACAUUGGGACUGAGAUACGGCCCAGACUCCUACGGGAGGCAGCAGUGGGGAAUAUUGCACAAUGGGUGCAAGCCUGAUGCAGCAACGCCGCGUGCGGGAUGACGGCCUUCGGGUUGUAAACCGCUUUCAGCAGGGACGAAGCUUUUUGUGACGGUACCUGCAGAAGAAGCACCGGCUAACUACGUG
rnacentral:rRNA from 1 species